UAACAAGGAUUCCCCUAGUAACUGCGAGUGAAGCGGGAAGAGCUCAAAUUUAAAAUCUGGCGGUGUUGGCCGUCCGAGUUGUAGUCUGGAGAAGUGCUUUCCGCGCUGGACCGUGUACAAGUCUCUUGGAACAGAGCGUCAUAGAGGGUGAGAAUCCCGUCUUUGACACGGACUACCAGUGCUUUGUGAUGCGCUCUCAAAGAGUCGAGUUGUUUGGGAAUGCAGCUCAAAAUGGGUGGUAAAUUCCAUCUAAAGCUAAAUAUUGGCGAGAGACCGAUAGCGAACAAGUACCGUGAGGGAAAGAUGAAAAGCACUUUGGAAAGAGAGUUAAACAGUACGUGAAAUUGCUGAAAGGGAAACGCUUGAAGUCAGUCGCGUUGUUUGGAACUCAGCCUUGCUUUUGCUUGGUGCACUUUCUGAAUGACGGGCCAGCAUCGAUUUUGAUUGUCGGAUAAGGGUUGGGGGAAUGUGGCACCUUCGGGUGUGUUAUAGCCCUCAGUCGCAUACGGCGGUUGGGAUCGAGGUUCGCAGCGCGCCGCAAGGCAGGGGUUUACCCACUUUCGCGCUUAGGAUGCUGGCAUAAUGGCUUUAAACGAC
rnacentral:rRNA from 2 species